rnacentral:rRNA from 1 species
UACGUAGGGACCAAGCGUUGUCCGGAAUCAUUGGGCGUAAAGGGUGCGUAGGCGGCGCGGUAAGUCGGGUGUGAAAUCUCGGAGCUUAACUCCGAAACUGCAUUCGAUACUGCCGUGCUUGAGGACUGGAGAGGAGACUGGAAUUUACGGUGUAGCGGUGAAAUGCGUAGAUAUCGUAAGGAAGACCAGUGGCGAAGGCGGGUCUCUGGACAGUUCCUGACGCUGAGGCACGAAGGUCAGGGGAGCAAACGGG